GGAUACGGGUGCCGCAGGAGGCCGAUUGCAAGUGUCGACAAGCAAUCGGAACGCGAAUCGAGGUACACACGUGUGCAGCGCGGCGGCGCAAGGUGAGGGCGUAGUUCUGCAGAUAGCGUCCUACCCCAGAGACUGAGAUAGUUGUACCCUGUGGCAGUCUAGCUUAAGGGUUUAAAAGAAAUGAAAAGAAAUGUAUCGAGCUUGUUUAAGUUGUAAUAACUUAGAUUGUGAUUGGAGGUCGAAUGUAAAAGAAUGGUAAUUGUGAUGUAAACACUAUGAAUGCGAAUGAAUGUAAUAAUUUAGGAUGUGUUUAUGUUGUAUGA